CUGGGAAGGAGGAGAACCACAAGGCAGCACUGUGCUUUGGUGGCCAAGAAGGUCAAUGGUGGCCUGGGAAGGAGGACCACGAGCCAGCAGUGUGCUUUGGUGGCCAAGAAGGUCAAUGGUGGCCUGGGAAGGAGGACCAUGAACCAACACUGUGCUUUGGUGGCCAAGAAGGCCAAUGGUGGCCUGGGCAGGAGGACCACAAGCCAGGAGUGAGCUUUGGUGGCCAAGAAGGCCAAUGGUGGCCUGUGCAGGAGGAGGACCACGAGACAGCAGUGUGCUUUGGUGGCCAAGAAGACCAACGGUGGCCUGGGCAGGAGGAGAACUAUGAGCCAACAGUGUACUUUGGUGGCCAAGAAGGUCGAUGGUGGCCAAGGCAAGAGGACCAUGAGACAGCAGUGUGCUUUGGAGGCCAAGAAGGCCAAUGGUGGCCUGGGCAGGAGGACCAUGAGACAGCAGUGUGCUUUGGUGGCCAAGAAGGCCAAUGGUGGCCUGGGAAGGAGGAGGACCAUGAGACAGCAGUGUGCUUUGGUGGCCAAGAAGGCCAAUGGUGGCCUGGGCAGGAGGACCAUGAGACAGCAGUGUGCUUUGGUGGCCAAGAAGGCCAAUGGUGGCCUGGGGUGCAUUGGAAGAGGGGUGGGUGGGAGGUCCAGAGAGGUUCUCCUGCCCCUCUGCCCUGCCCUGGGGAGGCCACCUCUGGAUUCCUGUGUCCACAUGGGGGUCCCUCCGUGCUGAGGAGGUGGUGAAGGCAGCAGAGCAUCUCCGUGCUGAGGAAGGGCAGAGGGGAGUGGGGGCUCUUUCGUUUGGAGAGAGGGGGAGACGGAGGGGUGACCCCAUUGGUGCUGACAGAUCCACCUACUCUGCAGGUGGAUCGGAACGGGUGAUCUUCAAGGACCCUUCCAAUCCCUGAUGCGAUUCUGUGCUACAACCCCGUGCCACGUGGAGCCCCCCACGCUGUGUCUCAACGCAGACCCCCAGACCCCAUCCCAG
ensembl:lncRNA